AUGGAUUUAAGGAAAUCCAGAAGAAUUGGGGUGGGUUUAGGGAAAUCAAAGAGAAUUGGGGUAGAUUUAGGGAGAUCCAGGGGAACUGGGGUGGAUUUAGGGAAAUGCAGGAGAGGUAGGGUGGAUUUAGGGAAAUUUAGAAGUGGGGUGGGUUUAGGGAAUUCCAGGAGAAGGGAGGUGGAUUUAGAGAAAUCCAGGAAAGAAAGGGAAGGAUUCAGGGAAAUCCAGAAGUGGGGUGGAUUUAGGGAAUUCCAAGGGAAUUGGGAUGGAUUUAAGGAAAUCCAGAAGAAUUGGGGUGGAUUUAGGGAAAUCCAAGAGAAAUGGGGUGGAUUUAGGGAAUUCCAGGAAAGAAGGGGAUGGAUUUAGGGAAAUUCAGAAGUGAGGUGGAUUUAGGGAAAUUCAGGAAAAAUCUAGGGUUUAGAGGAAUCCAGGGGAACUGGGGUGGGUUCAGGGAAUUACAGAAGUGGGGUGGAUUUAGGGAAAUCCAGAAGUGAGGUGGAUUUAGGGAAUUCCAAGGGAAUUGGGAUGGGUUUAGGGAAAUCCAGGAGUAGGAGGGUGGAUUUGGGGAAAUUCAGGAGAGAAGGGGACGGAUUUAAGGAAAUCCAGAAGAAUUGGGGUGGGUUUAGGGAAAUGGAGGAGAACUGGGGUGGAUUUAAGGAAUUCCAGGAGAAUUGAGGUGGAUUUAGGGAAAUUUAGGGGAAUUGGGGUGGAUUUAGGGAAAUCCUGAAGAAUUGGGGUGGGUUUAGGGAAAUUUAGGAGAAGUGGGGUGGGUUUAGGGAAAUGCAGGAGAAAUGGGGUGGAUUUGGGGAAAUUCAGGACAAUUGGGGUGGGUUCAGGGAAUUCCAGGGGAACUGGGGUGGAUUUAGGGAAAUGCAGAAUUGGGGUGAAUUUGGGGAAAUGCAGAAGAGGGGUAGGUGGAGAAAUGGGGUGGAUUUAGGGAAUUCCAGGAGAGAAGGGGACGGAUUUAGGGAAAUGCAGAAGUGAGGUGGAUUUAGGGAAAUUCAGGAGAAAUCUAGGGUUUAGAGGAAUCCAGGAGAGGUCGGGUGGGUUCAGGGAAUUACAGGAGAAUUGGGGUGGAUUUAGGGAAAUCCAGAAGUGUGGGAUGGGUUUAGGGAAUUCCAAGGGAAUUGGGAUGGGUUUAGGGAAAUCCAGGAGUAGGAGGGUGGAUUUGGGGAAAUUCAGGAGAAUUGGGAUGGGUUCAGGGAAUUCCAGGGGGGCUCAGGGAAUUCCAGAUGAAUUGGGGUGCGUUUAAGGGAUUCCAGGGGAGA
rnacentral:lncRNA from 1 species